rnacentral:lncRNA from 1 species
AGUACUAUAGAAAUACUUAACCUACAAAAAUAACACUAACUAAAGAAUACUUGCUUAAUCCUAUGUCAAGUACUCAAGGCUACUAACUAACCAGUGCUAGUAUAAUCCUUUCCCUAAAGAAAUAAAUGCAUGCAAAAUUGAAAUUUGGAUAAAAUUGUGUUUUUUUUUUUUUUAAAUUAGGAAGAUCAAAAUUGCAAAAAAAAAAA